GACGAACCGUGCGAACGUUAUUCGGAAUCACUGGGCUUAAAGCGCGUGUAGGCGGGCCGGCACGUCGGUGCCUGAAAGCCCCCGGCUCAACCGGGGAAGCGGGGCCGAUACGGCCGGCCUGGAGGGGCGUAGGGGGACCUGGAACUUCCGGUGGAGCGGUGAAAUGCGUUGAGAUCGGAAGGAACGCCCGUGGCUAAGGCGGCUCUCUAGUACGUGACUGACGCUGAGACGCGAAAGCGUGGGGAGCGAACAGG
rnacentral:rRNA from 1 species